rnacentral:sRNA from 1 species
UUUUACAGGCAUAAUAAAGUGCUUAAUGAGGAACGUUUUUGUCAUUUGAAACCCAUAUCAUCAUGGACCCCCAUGAUAGUGCCCAUGAUGUGCACCGAUGCGACCUUUGUGAGACCGCCAUAGUACACGGCUACUGUAACGUUUGUCAUGUCAACCUCUGCAAUUCCUGUAUUGCUGAGCACAAUGAUAAACAUAAAAUAGUCUCUUUCCAGCCACGGGAAACAACCUUAAUCUAUCCUAAAUGUGAAUUGCAUCCACACAAGUGUUGCGAAUUACAGUGCAAUGAUUGUAGCAUUUUUGUUUGCACAUCAUGUGUGGGAUCUACACAACAUAAAGGACAUGAUUUUUGGGAACUUGAAGAUAUUUACAAAACAAAAAAAGACAAAAUUAAAAAGGACGCGGAGGAGUUACAAAACAUAAUUUCUCCGACAUAUGAAGAAAUGGCUCAGGAUUUGGAAAAUCAAAUUGUCAAUCUGGAUGAAGGAUAUGAGAAACUUACAGUAGAAAUUUCCAAACAAGGAGAGGAAUGGCAUAGACGAAAUUGACGUCGUUAUCACCACGAUGAAAACAAAAGUCAGCGAGAUAAAAAUGAAACACAAAGACGUUUUACACAAACACUUGAAUGAAAUCAAACAGAUACAGUCUCUUAUACUACAUGAUUUAAAAGCUACACAAGAAAUUGAGGAAUCAAAUGAACUAUCAAUUGUAAUUGAAUACAACUCUGAAAAUAGAGAGUUUAGCAAGUCUCCAAUUGAGGUUAAGGUAUCGCUGCCAACAUUCAUUCCAAAACCAAUAGACAGAGAGAAGCUGUAUAGUUUAUUUGGGAAGAUCAUACUACUAUCUACUGCAAUAGAACAAAGUGUUUUGCUGCCAAAAAUGCCAUCAAACACAUCCGGUACAAAGCUACUGGAUGAGCCGAAGUUGGACGUCAAAAUACAGAUUUUGCAGUCUAUGUUGAGCAAUGUUUCCUAUGUGGAUGAUGAAAAAAUAUGGAUAAGUGGAGAAACAGGAGAAAUAAAAUGCUUUAACAUUAAAGGGUUACUUCUCUAUACAGUCUGGACAAAAUCAGGCGAAUUUCCAACUGACAUAGCUGUAGGACGGUAAUGGGGACCUUUUAUUUUCUGAUUGGAGAACAAAGUCAGUUUAUGCAUCGAAGAAUUGGCAGACAGAAGAGUUGAUCAGGUUAGAGGAAUGGACUCCCUGUCAGCUGUGUGUCACCUCUACUGGUGAUGUUCUAGUUACCAUGUAUAGUGACGAUAUAUCUCAAUCCAAGGUUGUCCGUUACUCGGGGUCUACAGAGAAACAAACGAUUCAAUUUGAUGAGGAAGGUAAACCUCUGUACUCAGGUAAUAGCAUCAACAAAUACAUAUGUGAGAACAGAAACCAUGACAUCUGUGUAGCUGACUAUGGGGCUGGUGCAGUAGUGGUGGUUAAUCAGGACGGGGAACUCAGAUGGAGAUACACUGGUCAUUCCCCAACUAGCAAGAACAAACACUUUUACCCUUGUGGCAUCACAACAGACAGUCAAAGUCGAAUCUUGACUGCAGAUGGUGAAAACUACUGUAUCCACAUUCUGGAUCAGGAUGGAGAGUUUCUCUGUUAUAUUGAUAACUGUGAUCUUAACGAUCCUUGGGGUUUGUCAGUGGACAACAGUGACAAUCUGUUUGUGUGUGAAUACGAAAGUGGAAAUCUAAAGAAAAUCAAAUAUCUCAAAUAAAAGUUGUGAAAUUGCAAGCAUAGGGUAGAUAUAGCAUAUAAUUAAAAGAUUGAUUAACGCAAUAAGAAUGAAUAUUGGAAACAAUAGAAAAAUAUAAAUUUGGAUCACCUGUACCCAUCGUCUCAACCACAGACUGGAGCCCGCAAAGUUCUCUCCUACACUGUACUGUUUGAACACACACCGAAUGGUUAAGCUGAAUGACAUAUUGGCGCCGAGUUUAAAUCUGAUUGAGUUCUAGGCCUAUAGGCCAUGCGCUGUGACUUCAUUAUCCAUGAACAGCAUAUUUGCAAUAGCCUCUGUUUGCAUUGAUGAACUGCACCAUUAUUUAGCUGAGUGAUCCGACACUUGUUAACAAACUCUAAACAUUACGCAAUUUGAAAAAAAAAUUAAAUGCGUUUACUUGCAAGAAGUCAACGCCUUUGAUUUAAAAAAACACCCGCAUUGAUAUAAUGUUCUUGAAGCAAUUAUUAUGAUAUUGAAUAAAUCUAUAAGUUAACUUAGAUUGAUGACCCUACGUUUUAGUAGGUUGCGCUCAGAUCUAAGCUAUAAAAGUGUUUGCUUAUUCUAGUUUUAUCUAUAAAAUUAUACUCCUUAGAAAAUUAAUGUAUCAAAAAUAGAGAAAUAAUGCAGGCUAAAAAGUAAAAAGCACAAAUUUUGUAUCUUUAUACGCUCGGUAGGGCUCGUCAGUUGACAUAAAGUUGCUUUUGUGUUUGGUAGUGGGGUAUUAUAUUUUUUGGUAAACAUCGUGUUUUCAUGCAUAUGCUGAAAAUAAUGCUAAAAUACAUUUAACGUAUUCUAUUUAAUUUGACGAAAAACAGCCAACAAAUAGCGUUGCCCAACAGAACAUUUGUUUUAAUUCGUUAGCUUUUUAUGACUUCGUUUGCAAAUAUUCUGUAAACAAUGUGAAACGAAGGUUGUGUAGUUGUUUUGUUUGACUAUUCACUCGUGUGACGCAAAUAUUAUAUGUCCGAUCCUAAUUAAAAAAGCAAUAAAGGCUAUGCAGUAAGAUAAAUUUUUAAUUCUUGUAUUCUGUAAACAUUGUUCCUGUGACGAUAUAUUAAGAAUAAAAGUUUAUCACCUCAAAUGG